UAUUUUAUAUUCUGUUUUAAUGUAGGUAAUAUAUUAUAUUUCUAUGUUGUCUAGUAUGUUGUAUGUAGUUUACUGGCCACAAUCGUUUCAAAAUUUAUACAAUGUUUAAAAUUCUGAAAUAAAUAGUUGUGUCACAAAAAUUGUUUAUUCGUUUCAAACUGGACAAUCUCAAUCGCCGUAAUAUACACACUGCAAGUUUCGACACACUUUAAAGUUCCCGGUCCACUUUUACUAACAAUAGGUAUAAAGCAUAAGAUAAUAUCAAGAUAAGUCAUUUGUCUAUUGAAGAAACUAAGUGUGUGAAUUCAUGUGAGAAUUCAGAAAUAAAUUUAUCUUAAAAGGUGAAAGAUACAACAAAAGAUGAAUUAGUAUGACAGAUGGCCCCAUAGAAAACGUCUUAUCAAUGUCUACGGUGCAAAUUAUACACAAGCAGAAUAAUAAUAUUGACGCGAUGUUAACACACAUACAAUAGUUGUAUCUAAUAAUGUAUUUUUUAAUAAUUUAUAUCGAUUUUAAUUGUUGAAAACAUGUAACUGGUUUUAAAAAUAAAAUAAAUAAUUGAUAUACAUUACAAC